rnacentral:lncRNA from 1 species
CUUCUAUAGUGAAGUUAUAGUUUAAAAAAUGCAUCUAUUCUUUCAAUGAAUACCCAUUAAAAUAAUAUUAUGUUCUAUUAACCGUGCCGCUCAAGUAAUUAUAGGGAGUACACUUCUAUUUUAACAAAUUAGUUGGUCUGGAAUUUUAUUGUAAAAGUUGAUUUGGGGCCACAAUUGCUUUUUGAUUAACAAUCAUUGCUUGGUAUCUUUUGGACCCAUUAUUUGAGUGUUUGAGACACAGAAUGAUAUAAAAAUGUGGCACUAAGAGGGACUUGUCUCAGGCUUUUAUAUCAUAUCCUCUUACAUUUCCUAAUUAGCAGGGCAUCUGUUUGUUUAUAGAUAUUUUUGAAAGAAUAGGACUCCUAGCAUGUGGGGUAGGGGCGUUAGGCGUGGAUAAGAGCUUGACAGAAUUUAACAGGCAUGAUUCAUGGAUUGGCACACAUUUUAUCGCUCCUAGAUACACUCAAUUUGAAGUUAUCAACAUUGGCUGAAGGUAGGGGCUUGUAAAAUUAGAUGACAUCAAAUAAAAGUCUUCUAAUCUCAGAAGUGCUUUUCAUUUGACAAAAUUAUCCUUCUUUUUAAUAAAAUUGUACAUCCAAAAGUUAUUUUCAACCAUCAAGUCAAAGAGGGUAGGUAGAAUUUAACAAGCUACCAUAAUUCUUUUUUUUUUUUUUGUCUUUUUGCUAUUUCUUAGGCCACUCCCUCGGCAUAUGGAGGUUCCCAGGCUAGGGGUCUAAUUGGAGCUGUAGCCUCUAGCCUAUGCCAGAGCCACAGCAACGCAGGAUCCGAGCCAUGUCUGCGACCUACACCACAGCUCACGCAACACCGGAUCGUCAACCCACUGAGCAAGGCCAGGGAUCGAACCCACAACCUCAUGGUUCCUAGUUGGAUUUGCUAACCACUGUGCCAUGACGGGGACUCCAACAAAGCUACCAUAAUUCUUAUGGAAUCAAAUGGCUAGGAAUGCUGUGGCCCAUCUUAGCCUCAAAUAAGUGGUUUCUAACAACAAUAUAUACAUAUAUUUACAUUUAAUAAAAGUAUUUUGAGCUCUGUUUAAGGCAAUGUAAGAGAGAGAAGGAUGACAAGAUAUGCCUCUCUUCUGCUGUGGGUGGCACAUGACUGAAAGAAACCACCAAGUGUACCAACUUAGUAAACCGAUGCGUGCUGUUUAAUUGAAAUACAUUCCCUUGACUGACACGUACAUGGUAACACUACAUUCUAAGAGGAAAAUAUGAAUUUACUUAACAUAGACGUUAAAAACUGAAAUCUAGGCUCUGUUUUUUGAAAAUACGAUGAGACUCCAAACAAUAUUUGUCAGAGGAAAUCACGGCACAAUGAAUUUAGCCAUAAAGUAUGUACCGUCUACUAGAACAUGGAGAGUCAGUCUAGGGAAAUUUAAGGCUUUUUUUUUUUUUUCCUUUAAUGGAAUAAAUGCUUAAGCUUAGAAUCAGGCAUAAUAAUUCUUUUCAAGCAAGUUUGAGAAAACUUCAGGAAUGACGUCGUUGCCCAACUAGGUUGAUUAUUAAAAAUACCGCACUCGAACAUGCUCCUGUGCACCUUAAAAUGACUCAAUGGGUGGUAGAACCUAACGUGUUUUCUUCCCAAUUAUUUUUGAAGGGCUCCUGACAAAUAUUUUCUUUAGGAAAGAAGGACAGACUGUCUUUUUUUAUUUUAUUUUUAUGAGCCUCUUAUUUUUAUUCUGUCAUAAGAGGCAAAUGGCAGAGUUAUGAUUUGGCUAACUUUUGCAGCAGAGGCUCAGUUUACACAAUUUAUGAUACAGCUUUCUUUAAUCCGUCAAGGAGUGUGGGCUAUAUGGUAUUUUGAUAAAAGAUGUAGUAGGUUUAACUAUAUAUGUUAAUGAAUUCUAAUCUUAACAGUCUUAAAAAAUGUGCCAACAAUUGCUGAAGCUGAACCUGUGUAUGAUUUUGAAAGCCUUGGAAAACUCCCCAAAUAUUAUAAAAAUGUUCCACCUAAAUAUUUUUGUCAUAUAAUGUUAAAAAGUUAGCUAUGAAUAAAAAUUAACAAGGUAGAUAAAAUAGUACUACUAUAGUAAAGUAGAUCUAUAUUGGAAAACCUUACUAUUUGAAAUGGAAAAGUUCAUACUUCAAUAUUAACCAGAAUGUAAUUCAGAUAGUAGCAUAUCGUUUUAUAGUUUUGAAAGCAACUGAUAACAUUUUGAAAGUAUGUGACUUUUAUAUCCCUGCUUAUAAAACAUUUUUUUUCCUCUGAAUGUUUAAAUUGAGAAAUGUUUUAUCUAAAUUAUGUGAGGCGUUCGUUGAAAUUAUGAAUUUGUUAAAUUACACACUGAAUACUUCAAAUGGAUUCUUUUAAACUUUUUUCAGUAGUUAUCUAAAACAUAAUACAGUCUUUUUGAAGUUAUAGGUACUUCUUUUGUAAUAAGUUUCAGUGUCCUGCAAAGGCCGACGUGGAGGGUGGGGAAAAAAAAUAAACAACUGUUGAGGAGAAGCUCUGUCUUCCACCACGGUACUUAACUUUGAGCGUCAUCACAGCACUUGUUCAUUCAUGAAAACAAACACACACACCAAACCAUGGAGAUUUUAGAUUAGGCUGUGACAUUUCCUGCAUUUAGGCCGUCGUUGGUUAAACUACAUUAAAGGGUAUUCUCUUCAUACUUACUAAAUAUACAUGCUCUCCCAGUAUCUACCUAAAUAAUGUAACUUACUUCAAGGAAGCAAAUCAUGGCAUAUUUCUUUGAAAACAUGUGGUCCAAUUGCAUCUGUGGCUGCUCGCUCCCUGGCGUAAUACCGAGGCGACAUCGUGAAAGGGAAUGAUAGUGAAUGAUGAUAACUACGUGGAUUCGAAAGCCCUCAAGGGUGAGUAAACUCUGCCUUCAACACAAACACCAUGUUUCUCUGACUGAGCUUCCCCGCAACUGAAGAUUCCUUCCUUGGAGCAGCAGCCAGAGGGAGAGGCUGUGAUGAGUAAUGUCACUGUCCUGAGGCACCACCUUCUGGCAGAAGAUUAAGACAUGACUAUGGGGUUAGGGGUGCAGAUGGCGGCGGUGAUGAUCAGGAUUAAAAUUGUAUCACAUUUAUCAUGUGGGCCCACAAAGUACUGUCAUAACCAAAGCUUUUUGAGCAUUUAAACAUUUGCAGCUGAUCUAAGAGUUUUCAAACCUUUCAGAAAAUAGAAACUCCAUGUUGACCAAAGGAAACACGUGUCCUUGAGCACAUGAGGCUCAGCUGUCAGAGCUCCAGUUACUUCUUCAUGUAUUUUCUACAGCAAGAUUUUGUUUUAAUUCACCCAAAAUGUAUUGCAGCAAAGGUAGUGGAGUCUCAAGUGAAUUUCCCAGUCAUAAUGUUCUUUUUUAAAAAUAUUAAUAAUUAAAAAAGGAUUUCCAACUGUGGCACAGUGAGCUAAUGACCUGGCUUGUCUUUGUGGAGGCACCAGUUAUAUCUGUGGCCCAUCGUGGUUGGGUCAAGGAUCCAGCAUUGCCACGGCUGUGGCUCUGAUUCCAUCCCUGACUGGGGAACUUCCAUAUGCUGAAGGUGAGGCCGAAAAAGAAAAAGAAAAAAUCCCAUAUUUAUGAAUAGCUUUGAAAAUGCUGAAAUAUACGGAUAUUAUCUAUAGACUUUGCUUUUCAGUUGAGGUGUUAACUCUCUGGCCCUCCCCUUCAAUUGCUAGAUGCUCAAGAGCACACUAAUUUUUAUACCACAAAGAUUAUGUAAAUAUUGUGUAGUUAAUUCAAAUGAUAUAUGGAUUAUAAUUCAUUUGCAAAACAUUUUUCCUGGAUUUAAUAAUUAUCACAGUUGUUACCAGCUUAGUUUUCUGAUUAGUCCAAGUGUUUUUCCAGAUGGGUAAGAUACUAAUACAUAUCCACCACUAGUUUUUCAAAAGGCUCCAACAUCUUUUCAAGAACUCCAAAAGUCUAUCGCUUUUUCCUUAGAAAUUCUCUCCUUGUCCUUUUAUUUUUCCUCCUCCUGUACUUCCUCCGUCCUUUUCCUUUGUAAGGCUCACCUCCCAUGGGCAGGUCCACUUGGAGGACAGACACACAGAGCCACUUGGAGAUUUGCCUCUUUCUACGUCCUUAUCCUGUAACUUUGUUUUUGCUUUACUGCCUUGGUUGACUGGUGAGUACUCUUCACAGUUUUGCAAAGAAGGGGAAACAUGCAAGGUUCUUCUUAAACAUUUUGCUGACUCAUUUCUGAAAAUGCUUUGGUUUAUCCUCAUCCUUGAGUUGUAGUUGGAUUGGUCAUGGGAUUCUUAGGCUAAGAAGUAUUUUUUCCUCAAAAUAUUAAAAAUGUUAUGCCUUAGUUUUCUAGUAGUCAGGGUUGUUCCUGAGAAGAUGGAUAUGCCUUUCUUCAUUUCCAAAAAUCUUUUCAGACUUUUCCUUGCGACCAGGGUGUUCUGAAAUUUUACAGAAUUUGAUGUGUGUGUGUGUGUUGAUUUCUUAGGCAGUGUACUUGGCAGGCCAUUUAACAAACCAAGAACUAAUAUCUGGAAAACAUUUGUUCAUUUUUCUUUUGUAAUUAACUCCUUUUUCUCAUUUUUUUAACCACAUGUUCCUAUAGUCUGAUGUUGGAACUCCUAAAUUUUCCUUCUUCAGCUAAAGUUGGUCUGUUAUUACCAUUUUCAAAGUAACUUCAUCUAUGGUGUCUUCCAACUCUUUCAUUGCUUUUAUAUUUUUACUAUUAUUUUUCUCUAGUAUUUUCAAGUCCUGAAAGCUAAUUCUUAUUACCACAGUGUAUCUUUAUAGUAUCAUAGUGUUCUUGUUUUACAAAUCUAAUACCGUUUCAUAAUUUUCAGUGACGUAGUUGCCAUCUGGAAGCUUCCUACUCUUCAUUUUAUUCGUUAAGUCAUGUUUCUGUUGAUAUUGCCAUUGUUUAUUGUUGAUGCUUUUAUCUGUCUUCUUCAUCUUGGAUGCUUUUUU